GAGGCUCCUUCUGGUGCAUCCCAUUGACAGAACUUAAUAGAAAGUAAGAAGGCAAGGUAGCCAGGAGGAUGACAUCAUAGAGGGGUCCCCAAGAACACAGUGCAGAGAAUGCAAAAGGGUGAGGUGGAAAAUGAGGCUAACAAGUGCGGUGGAUAAGGCUGGAUAGAAGAGUGUCAUGAAUAAUCCAGCCCCCUUUUGGACAUUGUUCUGAAGAGAUAAGCUUACCUGGUCAGGACACAAUGCAAGUGAACCGAGACUCUUCUCUUUGGCUUUACAUGAAGAUUAUGGGAAAAAGCCAGUUCCAAAAAGAUGAUGAUAUUCUUCAGUGGUAUAUUACAGAAGAAAUAUUGCAAUCUUCAUUCAUUGCAAGAAUCCUACGGGGGAAGGAGUAUGGAGGAAAGAGAUAAUUUGAAAGUAUUGUUAAGUGGUACAAAGGAAAUAAAUUCAGUUGGAAUUGGUUCAGCUCAGCACUAAUCAGGCUGCUUGGGGUGCUUCCUCAGUGACAGAGAAGAUUGCCCAGGGAACAAAUCCUCAUCACAAUGCUGGUAGGUGAAAAGCAUUUCCAUGCUACAAAGCUGCCACUGAAAUAUUUACUGGUCAAGGGAAGCAACUUAUCUAAUACUACAUUCUAGCAAGAGAUCAGUUUUUCUAUUGUAGAAAACAAGCACUAAAUUGCUCAGUUACUCUAUGGUUAGUUAAGCAUCUAGCAUUAGUUUUGAAUAAGUUGAUCAGAGCUCAUUUAUUUCUUCAAGUGAGUUGAUUCAAAUACUAGAAUAUGUCUGAUAGUACCAAUGGCUGAGACAAUAUUUGGGUGGCAGAGAGUUAUAUCUAUUUAUAUCUCUGUCUAUAGAUAACUAUGUUACUAGGUAGAUCUAUAUGUCUACAAGAGUCAUUACUGACUAUUAGGCAUGCUUUUUCUGAGGAUAAAAAAGGUAAAUAAAAACACAAACCAAAGCCA
rnacentral:lncRNA from 1 species